GAUGAAGAACGUAGCGAAAUGCGAUACGUAAUGUGAAUUGCAGAAAUCAGUGAAUCAUCGAGUCUUUGAACGCACAUUGCGCCCCCUGGUAUUCCGGGGGGCAUGCCUGUCCGAGCGUCAUUGCUGCCCUCAAGCACGGCUUGUGUGUUGGGCCUCCGUCCUCCUCCCGGGGGACGGGCCCGAAAGGCAGCGGCGGCACCGCGUCCGGUCCUCGAGCGUAUGGGGCUUCGUCACCCGCUCUUGUAGGCCCGGCCGGCGCUUGCCGACACAUCAAUCUUUUUUCCAGGUUGACCUCGGAUCAGGUAGGGAUACCCGCUGAACUUAAGCAUAUCAAUAAGCGGAGGA
rnacentral:misc_RNA from 1 species